rnacentral:rRNA from 1 species
CACGAUGCGUAGCCGACCUGAGAGGGUGAUCGGCCACACUGGAACUGAGACACGGUCCAGACUCCUACGGGAGGCAGCAGUAGGGAAUCUUCCGCAAUGGGCGAAAGCCUGACGGAGCAACGCCGCGUGAGUGAUGAAGGUCUUCGGAUCGUAAAACUCUGUUAUUAGGGAAGAACAAAUGUGUAAGUAACUAUGCACGUCUUGACGGUACCUAAUCAGAAAGCCACGGCUAACUACGUGCCAGCAGCCGCGGUAAUACGUAGGUGGCAAGCGUUAUCCGGAAUUAUUGGGCGUAAAGCGCGCGUAGGCGGUUUUUUAAGUCUGAUGUGAAAGCCCACGGCUCAACCGUGGAGGGUCAUUGGAAACUGGAAAACUUGAGUGCAGAAGAGGAAAGUGGAAUUCCAUGUGUAGCGGUGAAAUGCGCAGAGAUAUGGAGGAACACCAGUGGCGAAGGCGACUUUCUGGUCUGUAACUGACGCUGAUGUGCGAAAGCGUGGGGAUCAAACAGGAUUAGAUACCCUGGUAGUCCACGCCGUAAACGAUGAGUGCUAAGUGUUAGGGGGUUUCCGCCCCUUAGUGCUGCAGCUAACGCAUUAAGCACUCCGCCUGGGGAGUACGACCGCAAGGGUG